rnacentral:rRNA from 1 species
GGGUGAGUAACGCGUGGAAAACCUGCCGUAUACUGGGGGAUAACACUUAGAAAUAGGUGCUAAUACCGCAUAAGCGCACAGCUUCGCAUGAAGCGGUGUGAAAAACUCUGGUGGUAUACGAUGGUUCCGCGUCUGAUUAGCUAGUUGGUGGGGUAAUGGCCUACCAAGGCAACGAUCAGUAGCCGGCCUGAGAGGGUGAACGGCCACAUUGGGACUGAGACACGGCCCAAACUCCUACGGAAGGCAGCAG